CCGCCUGCUGCGGGCAGAUCCAGUGAAUAUGCGUGUCCACGCCGCCUGCGGUAACGAUCUUUCCUUCACCGGCGAUCGCCUCCGUGCCGACGCCAAUCGGGAUCGUCACGUUGGGCUGAAUAUCCGGGUUACCGGCUUUGCCGAUGGCGAAGAUCCUGCCGUCUUUGAUGCCGAUGUCCGCCUUGACGAUCCCCCAGUGAUCGACGAUCAGCGCGUUGGUGAUCACCAGAUCCACACACGCGCGAGCACGCAUUUGCCCCUGGCCCAUACCGUCGCGG
rfam:Citrobacter koseri ATCC BAA-895, complete genome.